rnacentral:piRNA from 1 species
UGUUUGAUGAGAGCACUACCUUCCUUCAGGAG